GGUCCCGUGGUCCAGCGGCCCACGACUCUCGGCUUACAUCCGAGCAACGAAGGUUCGAUUCCUUCCGGGACUA
rnacentral:tRNA from 1 species